AUGUCCAUGUUGCCGCGGCCCUGGGCUGAGCCUCAGCUGGAGGAGAGGUCUCAGGAAGCCUCCUGGCCCCUGAGGCUAGUUCUGACAGGCGGCUCGCCCUGCGGCCCCAGCUGGCUCCACCCAGAUCAUAUGGACUUCCAGCGAGGGCGGGGCCCCAAAGGCGGAGCGGGCACCUGGACAAAGGAAAGAAUAGGGCUGUCCACCACAGCAGGGACGAGGGACCCGCUACAGAGGAAGACAAACCACAGGGAGAGGAGAAGUCCCUGUGGAGUGCUGGGGUUUCAGGACAGAGGGGCCCUGACAGGUCAGGGAGGGUGUCAGGGAAGGGGUGUCCGGGUGGCUGGAGAGACCGGAGUUCUUGUGAAGAGUAACCACCCAGCAGUUUUCGACCCCCUUCCUUCCCUCUCCUGCAGGUGCCUUUUUCUUGCUUACACCCGCGAGCACAGGAGAGCGGAUGCCAGUGACAUUUGUUUUCUGCUCCGCGCCGGGCACAGAGCAGUUCAGAGAAGGAAGAGCCGAGAACCACAUGCAGCCCGUCUCCAGGGCCCAGCCCCGCCCUCCUCGAGUGGCGCAGACGACUGUGGUGGGGCUGUUGGGUGCCAUGGCACUGGACUGCCUGGGAGAGGUGCGUGGUACCCCGCCGUCCUCCUUCAUAGCCAAGGAAGCAGGAGGGACAUCUGCAGAGGACACCAAGAGAAGGCAGAGUGGCAGCGGCUGCCUGAGACGUCCCCUCCUCAAUGGUGUACCUGGCUGUCACGCCUGGUUCUGGAGGCCCCCCUUUUGCUACAUGCUGAGAAGUGGGGUGCCAGUUUUCCGGGCCCUGCAUGGCCAGUGGUUCCCUGGACACUGACAAAGAUUCCUUCCUCAACCAAAUUCAGCUCGGGCUCCCCUGAACUCCUUCUCAACUGGACUUCCACUUCUGGACUUGGUGACUGUCCCUGCAUCGUCCACUUUUAG
rnacentral:lncRNA from 1 species